rnacentral:rRNA from 1 species
GAUGAACGCUGGCGGCGUGCCUAAUACAUGCAAGUCGAGCGAACGGACGAGAAGCUUGCUUCUCUGAUGUUAGCGGCGGACGGGUGAGUAACACGUGGAUAACCUACCUAUAAGACUGGGAUAACUUCGGGAAACCGGAGCUAAUACCGGAUGAUAUUUUGAACCGCAUGGUUCAAAAGUGAAAGACGGUCUUGCUGUCACUUAUAGAUGGAUCCGCGCUUCAUUAGCUAGUUGGUAAGGUAACGGCUUACCAAGGCAACGAUGCAUAGCCGACCUGAGAGGGGGAUCGGCCACACGGGAACGGAGACACGGUCCAGACUCCUACGGGAGGCAGCAGUAGGGAAUCUUCCGCAAUGGGCGAAAGCCUGACGGAGCAACGCCGCGUGAGUGAUGAAGGUCUUCGGAUCGUAAAACUCUGUUAUUAGGGAAGAACAGAUGUGUAAGUAACUGUGCACAUCUUGACGGUACCUAAUCAGAAAGCCACGGCUAACUACGUG